rnacentral:rRNA from 1 species
AAGCGCGCGUAGGCGCACUGUUAAAUCAGGGGGAAAUCCCGGGGCUCAACACCGGAACUGCCCGGGACACUGGCAAUCUCGAGUUCGAGAGAGGUGAGUGGAACUCCGACUGUAGAGAUGAAAUUCGUAGAUAUUCGGAAGAACACCAGUGACGAAGGCGGCUCACUGGCUCGAUACGGACGAUGAGCUGCAAAAGUCUGGGGAGCAAACAGGACUAGAUACCCUGGUAGUCCACACCGUAAACGAUGAACGCCAGACGGCGGGCAGCAUGCUGUUCGGUGUCACACAUAACGGAUUAAGCAUUCCGCUUGGGGAGUACGACCGCAAGGUUAAAACUCAAAGGAAUUGACGGGGGCCAGCACAAGCGGUGGAGCAUGUGGUUUAAUUCGAAGCAACGCGCAGAACCUUACCAACCCUUGACAUACUCGUCGCGGUUACCGGAAACGGUUUCCUUCAGUUAGGCUGGACGAGUGACAGGUGCUGCAUGGUUGUCGUCAGCUCGUGUCGUGAGAUGUUCGGUUACAGUCCGGCAACGAGCGCAACCCACACCUUUAGUUGCCAGCACUUCGGCUGGACAUCUCUAGGGGAACUGCCCGUGAUAAUCGGGAGGAAG